GAAGGCGGCUUACUUGGGCUCUAACUGACGCUGAGGCACGAAAGUGUGGGUAGCAAACGGGAUUAGAUACCCUGGUAGUCCACACUGUAAACGAUGAAUGCUAGGUGUGGGGGGACUGACCCCCUCCGUGCCGGAGUUAACACAUUAAGCAUUCCACCUGGGGAGUACGACCGCAAGGUUGAAACUCAAAGGAAUUGACGGGGGCCCGCACAAGCAGUGGAGUAUGUGGUUUAAUUCGAAGCAACGCGAAGAACCUUACCAGGUCUUGACAUCCAACUAACGAAGUAGAGAUACAUUAGGUGCCCUUCGGGGAAAGUUGAGACAGGUGGUGCAUGGUUGUCGUCAGCUCGUGUCGUGAGAUGUUGGGUUAAGUCCCGCAACGAGCGCAACCCUUACGGUUAGUUGCUACGAAAGAGCACUCUGGCCGGACUGCCGUUGACAAAACGGAGGAAGGUGGGGACGACGUCAAAUCAUCAUGCCCCUUACGCCCUGGGCUACACACGUACUACAAUGGCGCAAACAAAGGGAAGCGAGACCGCGAGGUGGAGCGAACCCCAUAAAAGGCGUCCCAGUUCGGACUGCAGGCUGCAACCCGCCUGCACGAAGUUGGAAUUGCUAGUAAUCGCGGAUCAGCAUGCCGCGGUGAAUACGUUCCCGGGCUUUGCACACACCGCCCGU
rnacentral:rRNA from 1 species